UGUAAUAUUUGAAUAUAGAGAAAUAGCAAACUAGGGUUAUGUUCACCUUGUUAUUUCAAUACUUUCAAACUAUGGGUAGUAUGAAUUCAUAAAUAUAUUGUACUUAUAGAGAAACGUAUUUAGAAGUUCAAUCCAAGUGUUUAUCAACCUUCAAGGAAAGAUUCACUUUAGUUCUCUCAAACCAAAAGUGAUGAAAGCAAUUAUACGUGAUAACCAAAAGUGAUGAAAGAAAUUAGAUGUGAUCUCCAAGACAUUAAUUUGAUUAAGGCAUUAACUUAUAAGCUAGAGGUUAAAAAGUCUAACUCCUUGUCACUACUCUUUUUUCCAAAUGAUACAAGUACGACUACAAGGAUGGAUCCGAGGCUUGAAGUGUCAAUAAAAAUGCAAAAGAGGGCCAAAAACACACACCAAAACUGAACCUACACUACAC
rnacentral:lncRNA from 1 species